rnacentral:rRNA from 1 species
UGGGGAAUAUUGCACAAUGGGCGAAAGCCUGAUGCAGCAACGCUGCGUGAGUGAUGAAGGUCUUCGGAUUGUAAAGCUCUGUCUUUUGGGACGAUAAUGACGGUACCAAAGGAGGAAGCCACGGCUAACUACGCGCCAGCAGCCGCGGUAAUACGUAGGUGGCGAGCGUUGUCCGGAUUUACUGGGCGUAAAGGGUGCGUAGGCGGAUGUUUAAGUGAGAUGUGAAAUACCCGGGCUUAACUUGGGUGCUGCAUUUCAAACUGGAUAUCUAGAGUGCAGGAGAGGAGAAUGGAAUUCCUAGUGUAGCGGUGAAAUGCGUAGAGAUUAGGAAGAACACCAGUGGCGAAGGCGAUUCUCUGGACUGUAACUGACGCUGAGGCACGAAAGCGUGGGUAGCAAACAGGAUUAGAUACCCUGGUAGUCCACGCCGUAAACGAUGAGUACUAGGUGUAGGAGGUAUCGACCCCUUCUGUGCCGCAGUAAACACAUUAAGUACUCCGCCUGGGAAGUACGAUCGCAAGAUUAAAAC